AAAUGAACUGAAUUCACUAUGUUCUCCCUUUACAGCACAGGACCGUAUAAACGAGAUGGAGGCAAAAUUGGAGCAGACUCUUGCAACAGUAGAUCAGGUUUUCAAAGUGGAAUUGAUGAAAAUGCCACCUGCGCUUCAAAAAACCCUGAUAAUGGAUUUAAUAAAUGAUGACAUUUCGGCAGGUGAAGUCACAAUCGCCAUAAAGACCGAGUCACCCGAGAUUCACCAGCCUCUCACUAGGAAGCUCAGUAAAAAAGUCAAAGUAAGUGAAGGUGCAUCGGCUCAUAAACGGAAGACUACAACAGAACCAUCAAAGGGUUCCAAGAAAGCCAGAUUACUUGCCAAUAGCUCAAGCACUG